ACACCGGUGGUGAAACGGUAUCAUGCUUGCCUUCCAGUUCAUAUUAAUAUUGGCUGAUUAUGAAAGCAAGCGGUAGGGGUUCGAUUCCCCUCCGGUGUA